UCCUUGCUUCAUAAUGUAACACUAUUGUCCUGUGUACAGCCGGGGUUUUUGGAGACAGUACUGUCGCAUAUGGGCACAGUAGCUCAUAACCUUGAGGUGCAUGAGCGGGCAGUAACUCUGGUCUUCGAUGAGAUGGCCAUAAAGAGGCUACAGGAGUAUAAUGCAGGUGCAGAUUGUGUGGAGGGCAUUACACCCAAAGGUGGUCCUGAUGGCUCGCGGACUUGCAUCAAAAUGGAAGCAAAUUGCAGACAAAUCUGCCAAAUGUGCACAUUUGGAACAAAUUUUUUCAUGUGGACCGGCAGAAUGCUCUCACUGGCACCAAAAUUAACAGAACGGCAUCAAUCUACCCCCAUUUAUGAACAUGCUUGUCCGGCUGGCCACACUGGUGUUGAGUCACACUGUGUCUGCAGGAAUGAAGACACUGGUCGAUAUGCAGGGUUCGUAUACCUAUUCCAACAUCAAAUUCAAGCACUUUUCAAGCACUUUCAAGGUCAAUUUUCAA